CAAAGUGAUGGCUGCAGGUCGCCUGAGGGCCCACCCCGGCCACGUGCGGCUUCUGUGAUGACAGGUCUAAAGGGGCGGGGCCUCAGUCCGCAGUGUGCGGCCUGGGCUGACCGGAUCCGGCCGGAGAUGGGGAGCCAGAACCUGCGCCAAAGCGCUUGCUUGUGGGCGCCCGAACCAGGAAAAUGGAGAACAAGAGAAUGGUCAUGUUCCAGGUCUUGGCGCAUCCUUCAACUUGUUGUGGCACAUGGGCUCAGUAGUUGCAGCAUGAAAGCUUCCAGAAUGCGCAGGCUUCAACAGUUGUGGCACACAGGCUUAGCUGCUCUGCACCAUGUGGGAUCUUAGUUCCCGGACCGCAGAAUGAACUCCUGUAUCCCGCAUUUCAAGCUACCUGCCAUUUUGGAGAGGUCCACAUGACAAGGAACUGAGACCAGUCAAUGCCGACAAGGAGCUGAGGCCCUCUGUUCAAGUGCCCAGGAGAAAUUGAGACCUGCCAACAAUCAUAUGAGUGAGUUUGGAAGUGAAUCCUUUUGCAGUCCAGCUGGAACUUUGCUUGCAGUCUGUAAGAAGCCUUGAACCAGAGGAUCUGAUUAAGCCAUACCCAGAUUUCUGACCCACAGAAACUAUGAGAUAAUAUUGAAAAUUUUUUUAAUUGAUAAAGAUUUUUUAAAUGUUAUUGUUCAGUGUUACAGAGUACAUAUUAGUAUAUCACUCCCAGUUUGCUGAUGGGAAAUAUGCUUAUGUAGACUUUUGAAGUCAACUUGGUAUAUAUAUUGAUAGCACUAAAAUAUUUUUGUUUUUUUAAAUAAAAAAUUUUAAUUGAAAUAGUUGAUUUACAUUGUGUUAAUGAUUUGUACAGCAAAGUGAGUCAGUUAUAGAUACAUAUAUCUUCUUUUUUAAUAUUCUUUUCCAUUAUGGUUUAUCAUAGGAUAUUGAUAGUAUAGUAAUUAUUAUAGUAGUAAUAUUGUUCUCUGUGCUGUACAGUAACUGUGAG
ensembl:lncRNA